ensembl:snRNA U6 U6 spliceosomal RNA
GACGAGAGAUUGUCUUGUCAUAUAUUGCUUUUCAGAAUAAUACAGAGAUUAGCAUGACUCCUAUGCAAGGAUGACGCACGCAAAUUCACGAACCAUUCCAUAUAUUU